rnacentral:rRNA from 1 species
CCUACGGGAGGCAGCAGUGGGGGAUAUUGCACAAUGGUGGAAACCCUGAUGCAGCGACGCCGCGUGGGUGAAGAAGUAUUUCGGUAUGUAAAGCCCUAUCAGCAGGGAAGAAAGAAGACGGUACCUGACUAAGAAGCCCCGGCUAACUACGUGCCAGCAGCCGCGGUAAUACGUAGGGGGCGAGCGUUAUCCGGAUUCACUGGGUGUAAAGGGAGCGUAGACGGCCGUGCAAGCCAGGAGUGAAAGCCCGGGGCCCAACCCCGGGACUGCUCUUGGAACUGUGCGGCUGGAGUGCGGGAGGGGCAGGCGGAAUUCCUGGUGUAGCGGUGAAAUGCGUAGAUAUCAGGAGGAACACCGGCGGCGAAGGCGGCCUGCUGGACCGCGACUGACGUUGAGGCUCGAAAGCGUGGGGAGCGAACAGGAUUAGAUACCCGGGUAGUC